rnacentral:rRNA from 1 species
GAGCUGUGCAUUGUUUAUAAUUUUCUUUUAUAAUCUUUUUUAGAUAGAUACAAUUCAUAAUUUUCAAUUUAAAUUACCAAAUUUGAUUUAUUAGUUUAAGAUUAGAUUUUUCUAUUAGCCUACAAAAAUAAUAGAAUAUAUAUAAAAAAGCUUAAAAUUUAUAUGUUUUAUUAUAUUUCAAAUUCAUAACAGAUUUUUCAAAUAUAAUAGUUUAACUGAUCUAAUCAUUUUAAACGUGAUUAUUAAGAUUAAUAAACCCAACGAAUUCAAUUAAGUAACAUUUCAAAAGUCAUAGCAAGGUAGC